rnacentral:tRNA from 1 species
GUCAGACCCACCAUGACUUUGACUGGUUGAAGUUAUAGAUAAAAGAUACAUGACUGAUGAUGUAAGCUGGGGACUUAGCUUAGUUGGUAGAGCGCCUGCUUUGCACGCAGGAGGUCAGGAGUUCGACUCUCCUAGUCUCCACCAGAACUUAAGAGAAGUUCGGAUUACAGAAAUUAGUAAAUAGAGAUUUCGGUCUUGGUUUAUUAACUUCUGUGAUUUAAGUAUCACGGUAUUAAGCAUGACCUGACGAAGGCGUGUUUAUUCAUUAACAGAUUGGCAAAAUUGAGUCUGAAAUAAAUUGUUCACUCAAGAGUUUAGAUUAAGCAAUUAAUCUAGAUGAAUUGAGAACUAGCAAAUUAACUGAAUCAAGCGUUUUGGUAUAUGAAUUUAGAUUGAAGCUGUACAGUGUUUAAGUACACAGACAACAGAUAGUAGCGAUGAAGAAUCGCACGGACAACACUCACUUGUAGGUGUUGACGACUGUUUGGGGUUGUAUAGUCAAGUAAUUAAGUGCGUGUGGUGGAUGCCUUGGCAGUCAGAGAACCCACCUACUUUAAGGUAGGUAUUGCAACAUGAAUACAUAGUGUUGCUAGGCGAACGAGGGGAACUGAAACAUCUAAGGCGAUGAAAGACGUGAUAGCCUGCGAAAAGCUCCGGGGAGGCGGCAAAUAUCCUUUGAUCCGGAGAUUUCUGAAUGGGGGUACC